rnacentral:rRNA from 1 species
AGAGUUUGAUCCUGGCUCAGAUUGAACGCUGGCGGCAUGCCUUACACAUGCAAGUCGAACGGCAGCACGGGAGCAAUCCUGGUGGCGAGUGGCGAACGGGUGAGUAAUAUAUCGGAACGUGCCCAGUCGUGGGGGAUAACGUAGAGAAAUUUACGCUAAUACCGCAUACGAUCUAAGGAUGAAAGCGGGGGACUCGCAAGGGCCUCGCGCGAUUGGAGCGGCUGAUAUCAGAUUAGGUUGUUGGUGAGGUAAAAGCUCACCAAGCCGACGAUCUGUAGCUGGUUUGAGAGAACGACCAGCCACACUGGGACUGAGACACGGCCCAGACUCCUACGGGAGGCAGCAGUGGUUUUUUUUGUUCAAUGGGCGAAAGCCUGAUCCAGCAAUGCCGCGUGCAGGAAGAAGGCCUUCGGGUUGUAAAC